ACUCCUACGGGAGGCAGCAGUGGGGAAUAUUGCACAAUGGGGGAAACCCUGAUGCAGCCAUGCCGCGUGUGUGAAGAAGGCCUUCGGGUUGUAAAGCACUUUCAGUAGGGAGGAAGGUAGUGUAGUUAACACCUGCAUUAUUUGACGUUACCUACAGAAGAAGCACCGGCUAACUCCGUGCCAGCAGCCGCGGUAAGUACGGAGGGUGCGAGCGUUAAUCGGAAUUACGUGGGCGUAAAGCGCAUGCAGGCGGCUUGUUAAGUCAGAUGUGAAAGCCCGGGGCUUAACCUCGGAAUUGCAUUUGAAACUGGCAGGCUAGAGUCUUGUAGAGGGGUUAGAAUUUCAGGUGUAGCGGUGAAAUGCGUAGAGAUCUGAAGGAAUACCGAGUGGCGAAGGCGGCCCCUGGACAAAGACUGACGCUCAGAUGCGAAAGCGUGGGAGCAAACAGGAUUAGAUACCCCGUGGUAGCGACUGA
rnacentral:rRNA from 1 species